rnacentral:lncRNA from 1 species
GGACUUCUUAGCCAGGGGCACCCCCACCAUGUGGCUCUGAAGCCCCUUCCGGGGCGGUGACCUCCUGCUGCCCCUCCUUCCUUCCUUCCAGAAGCCCCCGAGCGCCCACAGCAUGAAGGAGGAGGCCUUCCUCCGGCGCCGCUUCUCCCUGUGUCCACCUUCCUCCACCCCUCAGAAAGUCGACCCCCGGAAGCUCACCCGGAACUUGCUCCUCAGCGGAGACAAUGAGCUCUACCCACUCAGCCCAGGAAGGACAUGGAGCCCAACGGCCCGUCGCUGCCCAGGGAUGAAG